rnacentral:rRNA from 1 species
CAGCCGCCGCGGGAAAACGAAGGGGGCUAGCGUUGCUCGGAAUUACUGGGCGUAAAGGGAGCGUAGGCGGACAUUUAAGUCAGGGGUGAAAUCCCGGGGCUCAACCUCGGAAAUGCCUUUGAUACUGGGUGUCUUGAGUAUGAGAGAGGUAUGUGGAACUCCGAGUGUAGAGGUGAAGUUCGUAGAUAUUCGGAAGAACACCAGUGGCGAAGGCGACAUACUGGCUCAUUACUGACGCUGAGGCUCGAAAGCGUGGGGAGCAAACAGGAUUAGAUACCCCGGUAGUCCCUGUCUCUUAUAA